GGACUCUAGAGGUUUUCUUCCUUCUCAUUCAGAGCUGUCCACUCCUCUUCUCAUUAAACAUAUGGGAGCUAUCAAGUGUGUUCUCAAUCCUAGAGCACCUUGUCUCUCUCCAUCACUCCAUGAGAACUUCGUCUUAAUACAGUAGAGAAGACAUGCAGAGCAAGCCUGCACUAUUAAAGCCUAAUGUCCAAGAACGGUUAUGAGCAGCUGUGGAUCUGAGGCCUCUGGAGAUAACUGGGGCUUUGGAUAACACUGGCCUCUUUGGAGGAGGUGAAGGGUGUCUUCAGACAUGUCUCAAGUCAUGGAGAAGUGUCACAUUAGAAAACAUCCAGC